CUCGGCCAUUCCGGAUUUUCUUAGUUUUUCUCUUCUCUCUCUUUGGGUUUUAUAGAAAAAUCCCUUGAUCCAUGAAAAUCCAAUCGUCCAAACUCAAUUCCAACUUCAGAAACGUGAUCUACGAAGUCCGAUCUACGUUUCUACCAAUAGAUUUGAGGUAAUGGGUUAUUUGGAACUUGCUUGAGAUUACCCAAACCAUGGGUUUUGGUUUGGUGAAUUUUUGUGACGCAUUGCAAGGUGGUGUCUAGGAGACCUAGUGCUUAAUAUCCAUCCAGCCAAGGGAUUCCGCUAUUCAGAAGUGUCUCCAAAAGAUUCUGCACAGUUUGCAAGUCAGAAAUUUCGGUUCCCUGCCAGCCGUCCGGACGACGUGUCAUACCGUCCAUAAGGCAAGUAUCGCAAUUCAAAUCCAGACGUCUGGAUGCCAGUCAGCAUGGUCCGGACGCGCGAGCAUCAGAUAUAGAAAUUCCGUGCAUCAGAUCAACCGUCCGGACGACCAUCAGCAUGGUCCAGACGCGUGAAGCCUCUACAUGGAAAUUACUUGCAGCAAACGUGCGACCAUCCGGACGACAGAGCAACACCGUCCGGACCCGACUCUCAAACAGGAAAGAUCUUCAGCGAAAUUUUCAGAAUUUCAGUCACACAGUUGUUUGUCCGGACGGCGCCCAGUUUUAUCAAGCUAGACGCUCAUUUGAACUGUCAGCCUAUAAAUAGAGGCCCCUAGGCUUGAGAACAGCAAGAAUUUGGUAUUGAAUUCCACUAGUGCUUAGAAAGCUAUAUUGUGAGGUUGUUGAGUUGAGUUGAUCUCUCUGAAGCCGUUGCUGUGUGUGCUGUUGCUGCGCUUAAACUGAAGUCUAUCUUAGAGGUUAGCCCUAAGGUAAAGGAUUCCAUUAAAGACCCCUUCAGGUAGGAGACCUGGUUGGGAGGCGUUCGUGUUGGGUUACACGUUAGAGAGCAAGGUACGACCACUUCAUCAGGGGUAUGUGAGUGUUACUAUGUAUCUAGUCUUGUCUUCUGAAUAGUAGAUAUCUUGGGUUUGGCUGCCUCGGAGUGGUUUUUCUCAUCUUGAGUUUCCACUUCGUCAACAAAAAUUCUUAUGUUAUUUAUUUUCCGCAUUGUUAUUUUUUGUUAGCACUUUGUGCACACACUUGCUUUACAUUAGAAGUCAAUUUCAUUUUUCAGUUUCCAACAAUGAAACUUCUACGUAUAAGUUUCAGCUACAUAGUAUACUUAAAAUGUUUUCUAUUAGUCGGUGUUUGUUGUAUUAGCUAUGGGGGUUUUUCAAACAAAAGUUUAUAACAUUUGUAGCUGUUAUGGUGUACGCAUGGCUAUAAGAGAAAAACUAGUUCAUUGCGAAAACUCAGUGAAUAGUAUACCUCUAAG